GGGGGAUUAGCUCAGCUGGUUAGAGCGCUUGCAUGGCAUGCAAGAGGUCGCGAGUUCGAAUCUCGCAUUCUCCACCA
rnacentral:tRNA from 1 species